rnacentral:rRNA from 1 species
UACGAAGGGGGCUAGCGUUGUUCGGAAUUACUGGGCGUAAAGCGCGUGUAGGCGGCCCUGCAAGUCGGGUGUGAAAUCCCACGGCUCAACCGUGGAAGUGCACUCGAAACUGCAGGGCUAGAGUCCUGGAGAGGAAGGUGGAAUGCUUGGUGUAGAGGUGAAAUUCGUAGAUAUCAAGCGGAACACCGGUGGCGAAGGCGGGUCUCUGGGCCGAUACUGACGCUGAGGAGCGAAAGCGUGGGGAGCGAACAGG